rnacentral:rRNA from 1 species
UACGCAGGGGGCUAGCGUUGUUCGGAUUUACUGGGCGUAAAGCGCACGUAGGCGGAUCGUUAAGUCGAGGGUGAAAUCCUGGAGCUCAACUCCAGAACUGCCUUCGAUACUGGCGAUCUAGAGUCCGGAAGAGGUGAGUGGAACUCCUAGUGUAGAGGUGGAAUUCGUAGAUAUUAGGAAGAACACCAGUGGCGAAGGCGGCUCACUGGUCCGGUACUGACGCUGAUGUGCGAAAGCGUGGGGAGCAAACAGG